rnacentral:lncRNA from 1 species
AGGUAUAGUUUUUGUGUUAGGAGAAAGGGCUAUCUCACCGAGCUCGGCACGUAUGCUUGAUUAACUGCAGUGCGUGCUUCGUUUGACUUGUCGAACGUAGCGGAUUUCACGAGUAUGCGACACGCGCUCUUGGAGAUCCUGCUGGGUAUUGCACGGCAUGCAGCAUUGCGAUGCACCUGCGGUGGCGGCGGCACUGGCCGGGCUACGGCUGCAGGGGCCCAGCGGCGGCAUCCACAUGCAAAGCGGAGGGAGCAGGCAACACCUCGUGGUGGAGGAUAGCGUGGCGCCGCUGGAAAGGCGGCGCUGGCGUGCAUGUCACGGCCGGUCGGCGUUUGGUUGUGGGUAGGGGCGAGCACAGCAUUUGUUGUACAAUAUCAGCAGCCUAAUGACGGCUGUGUGACGGCGGUUGGAAUGUAUGUGGAUGUGUAGCAGGAGUGCUUCUUGAAGCCCGCUUCUGGGCGCUCAUCUGCUGCGUGAAAGUACUUGUGGACGCCGGAGAAGAGGAUCUGCUGGGCCCAACGUAGGCAGACGGGCGGGAACAUAGAGCGCAAAACCUUUAGACCGCAGUUGUCGUGUACGGUAUGUUGAGUAAAAUCCAUUCGGGGACGCGGUGUGCCGGUUGCCGCGGCGGUGUUCCUGACACCGUGACUUGCAGAGGCGGUAUGGUAAAGACGGUAACGGCUCCGUGUGAGUUGGAGCCACAGUUACGUGUGUGCAGCGCGCCAAGCUCGGGUUUCGCAGUGGGGCUAUAGGGCCUUAGGUGCUGACGUUUUGUCAGGUUGGCGUUGAGUUCUGCUUCGGCCGCAAGUGUUGGGCAAAGGUUGGUCUUGGGGCUAUGCCUGCCUCGUCCGGCCGUACGUGGUCCGGGACGGAGGCAGUGCCAAGCAACCCGGUCUCACCCGGGGCGUGCCCAUACACGCGGCACCGUCCAAAGCCCAAACCAUCCAAGAUUCCUAUGCAUGGAAUAUGUAUGCUAUGAAUAAAAGCUGAAAUGGGGCCUGGGGUGACCUGUCCGCUCGCCGAGCUCGCGAAAUGCAGCGACAUGCCCCGACUAUGUGCACGAAGGAGUGUAUGUGGUGGCGCGGUCAUUGGCUCAUUGCAGGCGGCGCUGGCCGGGGGGCUGCUGGAGGCGCUGCUGGCAAAGGGCCUGGGGGUGGGGCACGCCGGCGUUAGGGUGCAUGGGAUGCUGCGCAGUAGCUUCGUCACGCUGGUGGCAGACGAAGGGCUGAGAGAGGGGUAUGCAAGGGGCACGUGCGAAAGGAAGCUUGGUCGCGGCACAUGCAAUGUGGCGUCAGGUUGACUUGGAAAGACUUCGGCUUCCCUAGAAUCCAAUUGUUCAUUGUGCGUCCAUUGUGUACUGUCUUUCGCCAUCGGUACGCGCCACUGUGCCACUCGCUUAAAGGUCUUCCACAUCGUACGUCAGACGCCACGACGUGGGCAUCCCAUACCGAUCCACAGUGCUGGUAUUGCUAAGCCAUGUGGUCCAAAGAAACGUAAAGAAAGCACCGCCUAGUGUCGUCUACUUAGUCUCCAUGCCGCCAGGUCUCCAAUUCGUCAAUGGCAGUUAAUAAAUUCGUGGCGAUUCAGUGAGGGGCUGAGGGUUUACCCUCCACUGGGCAUGAGCGCCAGCAAGCAAGCUCAAUCCCGGAUCCCCGUGCCGGCUAGACACCUUCAUGCCAUCGGCAAAUAUCGCUUACAUUGCAGGUGCGCAGGUUCGCGCUUGGCGGUCACCCGGCUCCGUUCACAGCCGCAUUCCGUGCCACUGGCGUGGUUCAUUUGGGCCUGGCGUCGACAGUCCGACACCUUAUAUAACCCUGCUGCCGCCACGACACACGCCACCGCAACACGGGAUGCCUGACCAACCAACAUGCUUAAUGUUACCCCUCCACCGCUGCCCCCAAGAGCUGACCCCUGAUGUGCGCCACACCCACAGCCCGCCGGCAGGUGAUGCACGCACGUUCCGCACUACCGUACUGACCCUGCCGCCUCACGCGGCCUUGAGCGCCCGAAUGGCGGGCGCCAGCGAGCUCUGCUGCUCCAGCUCCCACAUGCUGCCGCCCUCCACCACCCGCUUCAGCUCGCGGGACUUGUGCGCCAGCCGGCACCAGUCCACUGCGCGGCGCGGCUGGGGCUGUGCUGGCACACAGCGGAGGCGGGAUUCAGGAUGGGGCGGGGCGACGUGAGUAACGGUUACAAUAAUGUUGCUGGCCAGCAGUGUUCCUGCAAAAGGUGGGCAUAUGAAGAGCGGAGAGGAUGGCGUGUCCACUCACCGCCGCCAGGUUGCAGGUGGGAUCGAUAGGGUGCAGCACCACCACGGUGUCAUUCCGCCACGCGUGCCUGCAGCUCUCCGCUUGCGCCCGGGUGUAGCCCCACACCGGCCCCGCCUCCAGCACCACCACUUUCCGGUCCGAUACUGCCUCGUCCAGCAACUCCAGGGCCGCCAGGAACAGAGACACCUCUGCGGUGCGACUGUGGAAGGCGUUGCAAGCCAUGGGUUUUGGGCCUCCGGGUAUGUAAGAAUGGUGUUAUGCAAAGGGCACGCCAUAGCAUGAAGGCGCGCAUCAGGGCGGGGAGGGUUACAAACAAAAGUCCCCGACCCCACCCUGCAGAACCUCCCGAUCCCCCAUGACCGACGACCGACGGUGCCGUACCGUGCCGUACACCCCCUAAAUCCCCUCUGGUUGUUUCCAGGAUGGUGCCAAACGACUGCUUGCUGCGAGCUAUAAUAACAUGCAAACACGGAAGUUCGCACGGGACCACAGGCAUGUUUAGAGGCAUGUUGACGUGUGGACAUCUUGUGGCCGUUCAGUUGCACCCAUGUACGCAUGGGACAUAGCGAGGGCCCAUAUCUGGUUUUGGGACUGCACUGUUGCGCUGUCACAGCGGGAAAGUAUGGGGAUGGCUCUGGGUUUCCUGCCGGAGGAGGCUCUAAGUGCCUUCUCUCGUGAGGAGUUGUGGUUAGUGUGCCCGCCUGCGGGGCUUGCGCCAGCUGUGUGGGAUGUGGUGUGUCUCGCUGCUAUGUCUGCCCUGGACUUUGGUCGGCAGCGUGCGGUUAUGGCCGGGUUGGCGGCGCGAGCGAAGCUGCCGUCGGCCCAGGUGCUGAGCAUUGGACUUGCCGUCGUAGCUGACUUCUGGGCUCGUCUCCAGACGUUUGUGACUUUGGGUAUCAGGCCAAAGGGUUGGGACGCUGUGCCGUUUGCGCAUCCUUUCAUAUCUCGGGCUGUUGGUGACGGCAUGGUUUUGCGCUUGCCGUAUGAUGCUGAUUACUCCCUGAUCAGAACUCUAAAACGAAUUCUGAGCGCUCUCAUCAGGCUCUUUCCAUUUGAAGGGUGGGGUGUGUCUGCGGCAUCCUUACCCCCCCUCCCCAUGCACGCAUCGUCCUAAAUUCCAAGCCAUGUCUCCGCAAGCACCCUAUGCACCCAGUGCUAGGCACGCACGCUCACUCUUGCUUGCCGGGGCUGAGCAGGCCCUUGCGUUGCGCCGCCGCCAGCACCACUGUCUCCAGCAGCACGCUGGGCACGUUCGGUAUCUCCGCUUGGAGGCCGUACUUGUACCAGCACUGCAUGCACACAUGAUAACAGUGACCCCGCACGCACGAUGUUGCAUUGCGCCUCUCUCACGCAGUAAAAGCACAAGCUAUUUUUGCACGUGCCCAUUAUGCUGCAGGUUUGCAACCCGUAGCACAACAGCCAAACAGCCAACAGCCACACACGGGUGCUCACCUUGAUAAGCCGCACCAAGCUCUUGACACGGUCAUGCGUGUCCUUGACCACCGCCGUCAGCGCCUCCGCCAGGGCCGCCUCGCGAGUUGGGUCCGCCUGGCGCAGGUGCGGCGGCGUGUCCCAUAGCGUCUGCAUCAGCACGUCGCGCUGCGCCUUGCCGCGGUCAGGAGUGGUCGCUUGCUUGCCUGCCGCCGGACAAAUCGGGACAGAUGGUGAUGUAACUGUAAUGGUUAUCGGUACUUUGGUUUCGAUGUCUCCGACAUGCAUACUGUGGCUGGCUAUACCGGCGCCCAUCCUACACACACACACACACACACACACACACACACACACACACACACACACACACACACACACACACACACACACACACACACACACACACACACACACACACACACACACACACACACACACACACACACACACACACACACACACACACACACACACAUACACAUACACACACAUACCCUGCUGGGACGCCACGUGCGCCGCCAUCUUGACGUCCACGUCCACGCCACGCACCUUUACCUGCGGGGUGCAUGCCGUGCCAAGCGGAGGAGGCCGACGGUGACAAUAAGGUUGCGAUAUUACAAAGAAGGGACAAUCCGACCAAGCAAGGGUGCCCAGCACCCAGGUCAAGAGGGACCAUCUCCGGCCCGAAAGGAAACCACCCUCCCCCCAGUCGGCUACCGACCUUCCACAACCGUGCAACAGGUCUUCGCGUAAAGCGUGUCUCGGCAACUGCACAGCGAGUCGAAGCUAAGCCAAAGCCCGCCAGAGCCCCACCAACGUACAGCAAACCGCACUAGCGCACGAGGCGCAAUCAAACCGGCGAGGCGUCAGCGCAGGUACACCGGGCACGUAGUCCGGCGACGCCCACGUCGACCCCCCACACCCACAGCGCACACACCAGAGGCACACCGCUCCCACCACCCACGAGCAAAUUAAGGCGAGGGGGGCGGGGAGCCCACAUCAUCAGGCAACACGAGCAGCACACAGUCACCCGCACCCCGCGAAAGGAACGGAUGGUGCGCAGGCACCGUGGCCCAGGCUUUCGGGCGGAGGCCGAGACUGACAUACGAUUGCAGCCGGCCCCAGAAAUCAGCAAUAACGGACACACUGAUGCGCAUGACUUCCGCCGACGUCAGAGCCCGACGCACACGCAAGCCAGUCAUAAUCACCUGCUGCCGGCCCGAGUCAAGGGCAGACAGCGCAGCCAAACACACUACAUCCCACACCGGCGGCGCCAGCCCAGCAGGCGGCUGCACCAGCCAAAGGUCAGCACGGGAGAAACAGUCAUCAGCCGUGUCAUUGCCAUAGCCAUGUUCUCCCGCAGCGCCCGAGCAACAACACAGUCCCAAAAGUAGUGCCGGCGGUCCCCAUCACACAUAUCCCGCCCACACGCCCGGCACAGGGGCAUUGCCACCCCAGCUGCACGCUGGGCGGCAUUUUUGGGGAACGACCAGCACGCAUUGGCCGCCACCCGCCACAACGCUUCCUUGUGAUAAUUUUCCCAUUUUAACGCCCACAAACGGGCCAGAGUGCCGGCAAAGGCGCCGGCAGCCGCAAGCGCGCCGUCCGCAGACACACCAGCAUCACGCACAUACAACAAAUGUUUAGACCGCAGCGCCGCAACCUGGGGGCCCAGUUGCAUGGUCGUUCCUGCCUUCACGGAGUAGUUCAACAGCAGCAGAGGCGGGCCCCCGUCCAGGACACAGCCCAGUCCCCGCACCACCUGGGUCAAGGCCCCCGCCGCCGCCUGUCGCACGGCAUCCGCAGGAAGCGGCAUGACCCACGCCCGCCCGCGAGCCAGUCGAGCCGCACGCGCCGCGGCCUCCCAGCCACCUGGGAGCAAGGCCACCGCCGCGGCUAUGCGGUCCGCCGCCGCCAGGGGCGACGCCGGCCCCAGGAGCGGCGACGGCAGGUGCCGCCGAGGUCCCCAUCCAAGCACAGGCCGCCACACGCUCGUCAAGUACAAGUCCAACAUCGCCUCACCAAACCUGGUGCCCCACCCACCCGGGCGGGUGUGGGCAGCACGCACGGCCUCUAACUGGUCAUGCGCCGCCACCAACUGUCCCACAUACACAAGGCCCGGCAGGGCAAAUAAAUCGGCAAACGCCACGUCAAAAGUCUGUGACAAUAAGGGGUUUCUGCAGGCGUGUCGAAUCCUGCUGUCGCUGCCCAAUACCCAGCACGGCAACUACAACGGGAAGUGAUGGAAUGCAUGUGCAAACGCUGUGAGGCCUUCCGUGCACCUUCCGUGCGUGUGCCACUCACGUUGACACAGUGCUUGUAGUGCGUGCCGUGCUCCACCUCCACCACGUCGUGCAGCCCCUGUCCCCGCAGGUACGCCGCCACCACCCGCUGCAUCUCGCGCUGCAGCCGCUCCCCCGCCUCGCCGCUCCAGUCGGCAACCUUGAGCGCCCGCUCCUGGAACUUAAUCACAAACACAGACAGGUCGACAUCAAAGGCCCCGCGCACGAGGGUGCGGCGCCCGAAGCUGCCGCCCUUGUGGAACCGGUCAACCUGUGGAAGGGAUGAAUGUAGGUGGGCCGCCGGAUCCACAGGACUCAAUAUGUGGCUGCAUUUUGAGUUAUAGACCCGCCUGUAGCGGAUGAGAUUGUUGGCUCACGGAACUGUGAUUCUGUGGGCGCCGGAGCCCAGGUGGCUGGGGCAGGCUAUCUAGCUACCGCGCGCGGCUACCGUACUUACGAUCCCGCUGAUCCCACACGAAUGCAAGCACCUUGAGGACUGGGCACUGCACCAGCAGCUUGUGAAUGAGGUGGUUGGCGGCCUGCGGCUCCGCAUUGGACACGCCCUGUGCCGUCAGCGGCCGCAGCUCCCCGUUGAAGUGGCGCACGUAGCUCUUGUCCCCACCGGGCGUGAGGUCCAGGUGCAUCUGCGCCGGUAGGUACCAGUGUCGCCCGUUAGAGGGAUGGGGUAAUGGGCGUGGAUUGAAACCCGAGACUGUGGUCGGGUGGCUGUGACUCCCUGUGCCCUCUCGUCUGCGAAAUGCAAGCAGCCUGAUAUAUGCACUCUCGUACGUACCAUCUUGAGUGUGCGGUGUGGGUCGCCAGCGCUGAUCGGUGGGAAGACCUGCAACGCAAGUGACCAGCGCCCAAAGGGGAUGUGACACGGUGGGGGUGUGACAUCGGUUGCCCGGUGCCCCGUAACACUGCCCGCACGCUCUCAGCCUGCCUGAUGGCUCCACAACACCGCCACACUCCUCCAUCUUCCGCUCUCUAGCUCACCUGCCUGAGGCGUUGUGCCGCAGCUGAUGCCUUGGAGAGUCGGGCCUGAGCUUCAAGGGCCUGGGCAAGGGCCUGGGCCUGGGCCACGAAGCUGUCGACCUGUGUCGACUGGGUCAUAGAGGUCGAUGUAAGUGACGCCAUCGUCAUCAUAAGAUCCCUUGGAUCGACAUCGUAGUCCUGACAAAAAUCAGGAUUCACUUUGCGAGCGUUGCAUGCAGGCGUUCGGCCGAGGCCUUCUCCGCACCUCGUCCUCGUAAAGCGCCCUCGCUAGCUUGAUAAAAUCAGAAUAGCUCAUGCUGCUUGAAUCUCCUUGCCUCGUGCGCUCGAAACGGUAGAUAGAGCUGUUGUUCAGUUGUCCACUUAAAAACAAACGAGGUUUGUCCUUGCUACCGAAGAUGUAAAAUAUAGCUGAACUGUAAUACAAGUCUGCUCAAUGGUGUACAUAUGGAUGAAGGACGCGUUUAGAAUGUUAAUGAACGGCAGCGGUUGACACGCGUGCCCGAUUGGGGCAUUCCCGCCAAAUCAAUGGUUGCUGCUAAUUGCCCAGUUGAGCUCAGCUGCAAGAAUAUGGCACGGCCACCGUGCCAUUGACUCACGUUGAUGCAGUGCUUGUAGUGCGUGCCGUGCUCCACCUCCAGCGGCUUUAAAGAGUUCAAACUAUGCCCACCGUCCUCCGCCUUCUCCCACCCGCGCCCCUCCCAUCAUCGUCCCCCCCCCUCCGCAGCCCUCAUGUCGCCCGCCUCACCCAACAUCGCGUCCAGCAAGUGGAUGUUGCCUCUGGGUGCCCGCCACCGCCAGUGCCGUGCCGCCCGCGUGCCCAGGCGUGCCAGGCCGCGCACCGCAGCCCACACAUUGAUAUGCUUGAAAGAACGCAGCCGCCCCUUGCUCCAGCCGCGCCAACACCCACCGCCGUACAUACGAGCGAAUCCGGCGAGUACGCAACGCACGCCUGGCGCCAGAGCACCUCGGCGCUGGUGCCGUCCAGGAAGGCGGCGAGGGUGCGCCAGGUGUUGGAUACGCUGUCACGAGCCCAGGCCAGAGAGGUCAGCUCCAUAGAGGGGCCGGCCACGGCGGUGUACAGAGCGCGGGGGGGGGCGGCCCUAGCCGGCGUCCGUAUUCCAAUCGACACAGGCUUUAGCAGCUACAGACGACACCUACCUGAGUGCAAACCAAUUGCAGCAUGUCCCAAAGCUCCACGCUCCCGCAUUCGUUCCCGCGACCCGUACGUGGCGUGUCGGUCGCGCGGAAGUUUGCGGAGAACCGUUAGACACUGUAUUUUGGACGGACUUACAACGUGUUGGCGACGGUUUAGCUACGCUCGCGGCCGUGAGCGAGUGAGCACUGAUGCAGCAAACCUUCGGCCCAUUUUAGUUGGUAAGAGCGCAGAACACGAGCAAAACACCAUAAGUAUUAAUUGCUAAUGCACACACAUAUAAAACUGCAAGCUUUCCACAUAAAGGUGCCCGCUGUCCCGCUUUCGCAUACGUCAAGUGAGUUCGAUUUUGCUCAAGUGGACAUUAUGAGGGUGACACUACAAGUGAAUCACCUGGUGUAGGGACUGGAAGGGGCACGGACGCAUAAUGGCCGAAGCUGGCCAGCGCUUCCCUCAACGGCAGCCGCAACAACAGCCGCAUCUGUUUGAGGAGAGCAGCUAUAGGCGCCUGCGACAGGCCCUGCUGGAAAUAGGCGUGCACCCGGAGCUGGCUUCACAGUUCUGACGACCUGGGCCUGCUCCUGCGCCACGGCUUUAAGGAUGCUCGGGGCCUUCUGAUCGCCAAGGUUAACAUCCUGCUACAGGUUGGGAUACGGGCUUUCUGCGCGAGUUGUAUCGAGACGGCUCAACGUAAGUCGGGUUGUGUUUCGGUGUCAAUCUGUUAUGUGGGUAUCCGGAACGCCCAGCAUGUGUAGGCCUGGGCCUGGACCGGGUGGUGCCGGGCAACUUUGGGGCACUGCCCACACCCUCCCCUAACCUGUUUCCCAUUCCACUGUCCCACCGCAGAGCACGCGGCGGCGGCGCAGCAGAACGGGGUGGUGAACCCAGGCUGCGGGGUGGCACACCAAGGUGAAAUGGUCCCACAAAGUCGUGCAGCUCUGCGGUGCUCCUGGGCGGGUACUCCUGGGCGGGUGGUCCAGGGGCACCGUAAUGGCAUGCACUAACCUCAGCUGUCGGGGACGACCACGCGCGGAGAAUGGGGGUGCGCGUUUGUUGGCUCUUGCCUAUAUAUGAAUGAAGUCGCUUAUUGCAGUGCUCUUGCGCUUUGGUUUUCUCGGCAGGUGAACUGCUGCCGCUUGCCCAGGACGUUAAUGGCCCUCACGAUCAGGAUCAAUGUGAGUGCAUUGGCAUUUGGACGGCUUUCACAAUAGAGGCCAUUACUUGGCUGUUAUUUGCGCCCUUCUGCAUUCUGGGUCCCUUGAUCCAACACCCCCAAACGCAUGCGUCUGCCUCUGCUGACAGUGACAUCGGGCGGCUUCCCUUCUGCCUCCACCACAAAAUGGUGGCACGGCUGGCUGCCCUCCACCUCGCUGCGGGUCUCACAGUCGCAGUCACAGCCUGUGUCUGGCAGCACGCUAUCAUGUGAGGCGGUGGCGGCCUUGCCAUUGACAAGUGCGGUGCCUGAGGCGGACGCUGCAGAAAUGGACGUGCCUAGCAGUGGCUCAGCAGCAGCAGUCGCAGCAAGCCUCCAGCGUCCACAGCAGCAGUUGGGAACCUGCCGGCGCCGCCACGUGCACCGGCCCGCGCCUGGCCAGGAGCGUACUUGACAGCAUGCGACACGGAACAGCAGCGGCGAGGGCUAAGCGCGUGAGUCCUCGGUGUCUAAUCAUGAGACAUCGUCGCGGAGGAGGUGAACGCGGCGCAGUCAGUUGCAGCCGUGUCGAAUUUUAAUGGCAAUUCAAGCGAAGAUGCCUACCAACUACAGCAGCGGCACCAGAAGUUGCACAACUCUUCCAGCAGGAGCAACGGCUGGACGUUAGAAAUGCCCAAGCCUGCGGCAGCAGCUGGCACAGCACGGCGUGCUUGGCAGGUGGGCGGGGUUGGAAGCUGGGGACGUGACGGGACCAAGAUUGCUGGCAGGAGGGUGUAUAGAAGUGUCAGUCUGUACACUAGCUGGGCGCUUCUACGCGAAACGCCAUUUGCGCAACACGAGCAGGUAUAGUUUUUGUGUUAGGAGAAAGGGCUAUCUCACCGAGCUCGGCACGUAUGCUUGAUUAACUGCAGUGCGUGCUUCGUUUGACUUGUAGAACGUAGCGGAUUUCACGAGUAUGCGACACGCGCUCUUGGAGAUCCUGCUGGGUAUUGCACGGCAUGCAGCAUUGCGAUGCACCUGCGGUGGCGGCGGCACUGGCCGGGCUACGGCUGCAGGGGCCCAGCGGCGGCAUCCACAUGCAAAGCGGAGGGAGCAGGCAACACCUCGUGGUGGAGGAUAGCGUGGCGCCGCUGGAAAGGCGGCGCUGGCGUGCAUGUCACGGCCGGUCGGCGUUUGGUUGUGGGUAGGGGCGAGCACAGCAUUUGUUGUACAAUAUCAGCAGCCUAAUGACGGCUGUGUGACGGCGGUUUGAAUGUAUGUGGAUGUGUCGCAGGAGUGCUACUAGAAGCCCGCUUCUGGGCGCUCAUCUGCUGCGUGAAAGUACUUGUGGACGCCGGAGAAGAGGAUCUGCUGGGCCCAACGUAGGCAGACGGGCGGGAACAUAGAGCGCAAAACCUUUAGACCGCAGUUGUCGUGUACGGUAUGUUGAGUAAAAUCCAUUCGGGGACGCGGUGUGCCGGUUGCCGCGGCGGUGUUCCUGACACCGUGACUUGCAGAGGCGGUAUGGUAAAGACGGUAACGGCUCCGUGUGAGUUGGAGCCACAGUUACGUGUGCCGAACUCGGGUUUCGCAGUGGGGCUAUAGGGCCUUAGGUGCUGACGUUUUGUCAGGUUGGCGUUGAGUUCUGCUUCGGCCGCAGGUGUUGGGCAAAGGUUGGUCUUGGGGCUAUGCCUGCCUCGUCCGGCCGUACGUGGUCCGGGAUGGAGGCAGUGCCAAGCAACCCGGUCUCACCCGGGGCGUGCCCAUACACGCGGCACCGUCCAAAGCCCAAACCAUCCAAGAUUCCUAUGCAUGGAAUAUGUAUGCUAUGAAUAAAAGCUGAAAUGGGGCCUGGGGUGACCUGUCCGCUCGCCGAGCUCGCGAAAUGCAGCGACAUGCCCCGACUAUGUGCACGAAGGAGUGUAUGUGGUGGCGCGGUCAUUGGCUCAUUGCAGGCGGCGCUGGCCGGGGGGCUGCUGGAGGCGCUGCUGGCAAAGGGCCUGGGGGUGGGGCACGCCGGCGUUAGGGUGCAUGGGAUGCUGCGCAGUAGCUUCGUCACGCUGGUGGCAGACGAAGGGCUGAGAGAGGGGUAUGCAAGGGGCACGUGCGAAAGGAAGCUUGGUCGCGGCACAUGCAAUGUGGCGUCAGGUUGACUUGGAAAGACUUCGGCUUCCCUAGAAUCCAAUUGUUCAUUGUGCGUCCAUUGUGUACUGUCUUUCGCCAUCGGUACGCGCCACUGUGCCACUCGCUUAAAGGUCUUCCACAUCGUACGUCAGACGCCACGACGUGGGCGUCCCGUCCCGAUCCACAGUGCUGGUAUUGCUAAGCCAUGUGGUCCAAAGAAACGUAAAGAAAGCACUGCCUAGUGUCGUCUACUUAGUCUCCAUGCCGCCAGGUCUCCAAUUCGUCAAUGACACUUAAUAAAUUCGUGGCGACUCAGUGAGGGGCUGAGGGUUUACCCUCCACUGGGAUGAGCGCCAGCAAGCAAGCUCAAUCCCGGAUCCCCGUGCCGCCUAGACACCUUUAUUCCAUCACUAAACAUCGCUUACGUUGCAGGCGGCGCGCAGGUUCGCGCUUAGCGGUCACCCGGCUCUGUUCACAGCCGCAUUCCGUGCCACUGGCGUGGUUCACUUGGGCCUGGCGUCGGCAGUUUUUGUAACCAACGCGCUUGAUGUUACCCCUGCCGCCCGCCCAUCGCUGCCCCCCAGCGCCGUGCCGCCCGCGUGCCAGGCCGCGCACAGCAGCCACCCCUCGCUCCAGCCGCGCCAACACCCGCCGUACGAGUGAGUCCAGCGAGUGCGGACGCCUGGCGGACGCCUGGCACCAGAGCGCCUCGGCGAUGGUGCCGUCCAGAAAGGCGGCGAGGGUGCGCCAGGUGUUGGACACGCUGUCACGAGCCCAGGCCCGAGAGGUCAGCUCCAGGGAGGGGCCGGCCACGGUCUACAUGGCGGGGGUGGUGGGGGCAGCGGCGUCGGUCGCGGAGGCCGAUGCCGGGAGCUUUGCCGGGAUGCCGGGAGCUUUUAUUUUUGAGCCCAUGUGCCGGUCAUGACUUCACUCAACGGCUUGACAUCGUCGCAAGGAGCCUAGCCGCGGCAGCCCAAGCGGACGCCCAACCCCGCCGACACAGGUGGCAGGGUUUCGGCAUGACGCCGGAACUUCACGUCGUGACGAUCACCGUUCUGACCUAUAGGCAUUUACUAGCUCAUAAUCAUUGUAAAUCGCGUUUGAUAAAACUCGCUGGGAGGCGGAACCGCCCUUCCUCGAGGUCCCGCCGAUGACCGCCACGAGCGCCUCAGAGCAUCGCAACUAGCUUUGGGAUCGCUCGAUUUAUACAUCCUCGCACCACCGGCUCGCCGCGGGUUCGAUGGCGGCAAAUCAGCACAUCGGUAAGCACGGUGAAUGCAACUUACUGCCGAUCUGUGUUUGAUAGGCACAGGUCCCCGAGCCACGGUGGGCUCACUGUUCACCCACUGGUCACCCAGCUCCAGGCUUAAGAGAAGUUGCCGACGCGAAGGUUGAGGAGUUGCUGAUGUAAGCCCGCCGCCCGCCCUCGCCACCACGCCGCCUGGUCGCGACCCCACCCCACCCCGCCCCACCCCACCCUGGCUCCCCACCCCCGCCAGACCUAUCCGCUGUCAGCACGAGCGGCAGUGGCGACGAUGACAGCGAUAUUGGCACCACUGCAGCGGCAACACUAGGUAUCUGCUCGCCCACAUCCCCCACGCAAGGUCUCGCAUUACGUGCCGCUGCUCGUGCUGCUACUGGAUGGGACUUCGGUGGGCCACAGCGUGCGGCUGGCCGCUACGGUGCUGAGCUUCACCAACAGCGCGUACCGCAUGGCUCUGGGUCUGGGCCUGGACUUCUGGACUGCCCCCACACGGCGCCAGCUCGCGCACUGCUCAACAGCGCUGAUAACUUUCAAGGUGCUCGCGACUGUGCUUGUGGAUGGGGCCCAUCCUGAUUGUGUGGGUGGUGUCAUGGCUGCGGGGCGCACUGUUUGCCAUCUGGGCAGCAGCCCUAUAGCUAUGCUCAAGCACAUUGGCCAGAAUAGUGUCAAGAUGUUGCUGACUUAGCAGAGGAUAGCUCCCCCNNNNNNNNNNNNNNNNNNNNNNNNNNNNNNNNNNNNNNNNNNNNNNNNNNNNNNNNNNNNNNNNNNNNNNNNNNNNNNNNNNNNNNNNNNNNNNNNNNNNAGCUCCGCCGGCCACAACCCCGCUAUCCUCUGCUAAGUCAGCAACGUCUUGACACUGAUCUGGCCAAUGUGCUUGAGCAUAGCUAUAGGGCUGCUGCCCAGAUGGCAAACAGUGCGCCCCGCAGCCAUGACACCACCCACACAAUCAGGAUGGGCCCCAUCCACAAGCACAGUCGCGAGCACCUUGAAAGUUAUCAGCGCUGUUGAGCAGUGCGCGAGCUGGCGCCGUGCGGGGGCAGUCCAGAAGUCCAGGCCCAGAUCCGCAGCCAUGCGGUACGUGCUGAGGGUGAAGCUCAGCACCGUAGCGGCCAGCCGCACGCUGUGGCCCACCGAAGUCCCAUCCAGUAGCAGCACGAACAGCGGCACCAGCAGGAGGUGAGAAAUGCGCGACCUUGCGUGGGGGAUGUGGGGGGUAUAGUUUUGGUGUUAGGAUAAAGGGCUGUCUCACCACGCUUGGCACGCAUGCUUGACUGCAGUGCGUGCUUCGUUUGAGUUGUAGAACGUAGCAGAUUUCACGAGUAUGCGGUACGCGCUCUUGGACAUCCUGCUGGGUAAAGCGGCAUGCAGCAUUGCGAUGCACCUGUGGUGGCGGUGGCACUGGCCCGGCUGCGGCUGCGGCUGCAGACCGGAGCCCAGCGGCGGCAUCCGCAUGCGGAGCGGAGGGAGCAGGCAACACCUCGUGGUGGAGGACAGCGUAGCGCCGCUGGAAAGGCGGUGCUGGCGUGCAUGUCACGGCCGGUCGGCGCUUGGUUGUGGGUAGGGGCGAGCACAGCAUUUGGUGUACAAUAUCAGCAGCCUAAUGACGGCUGUAUGACGGCGGUUUGAAUGUAUGUGGAUGUGUAGCAGGAGUGCUACUAGAAGCCCGCUUCUGGGCGCUCAUCUGCUGCGUGAAAGUACUUGUGGACGCCGGAGAAGAGGAUCUGCUGGGCCCAACGUAGGCAGACGGGCGGGAACAUAGAGCGCAAAAC